CAUGGUGCCGAGAAGCCCGCCCUCACAGCAACCGCCGAACCCGGCCUGGCCACAAACCACGGAGGAGGGCGCCAAAUCUUCUCUCGUGAGAUCUGCCGUUCUCACGAAACCUGCGCUUCCCUCUUCUCGCGGUCCCAGCAGGCAGCUGAUUGUUUAGAUGGAGAGACCACAGGGGAGAGCUGCCCAUUGCUGUGGGAGCAAUGAGGAGUUGUGGCGGAAAGGAGAGGCACCAAGACCAGAUGAAGACUGAACAUUAGACUUCCCACGAUCGCAGAACUGUCCUUCGCUGCAGCUGUAAAAUCGCGGCAAGGCUGGAUUCAUCCUGGCGGUGGGUGCAGGCCCUAAUUCCCAUCACUGAGCAGGGAUACGGCAGGAAGCUCCACCUCUGAGCACAGAUUACCCCACAGCAGGAGCCCCUACAGAAGCCCCCACGUCAUGCCUGCCAUCUGCCUUCCAUCUUUCUCAGCAAAGGAGGAGACCAGAUUUGGAAUGGUGGAACACAAGUUUUUAAAAGUUGGCAACUCCUGGAAGCCACUGGAGUGACUCAGAAUCAACAUUCUCAGGACCCCAUCCGGGAUGCCACUGUGUAUGCAGUUGUCACAUCUCCCUAGACCCCUAUCUGCUGGCAGUUUCUCAGAUUUUCCUUGUUUUCAAUGAUUGGGAUAGUUUUGAAGAGUAAUGGUCAGGUUGAGAAGUUCAAGGGCCUGGUCUUUGCUCCCUGCGAGCUUCUGAGCUGGGUAACAUGGUGGAGAAGGUCAGAGAAGUGAACAGAUGCGGAGAGGACCAACCAGAAGCAGCAGCUGCACCUUAUAACAACAGCUCCAGCGGGAGCCAGUCCAGUCCAGUCUCUGAGAGUGAAACCACACUCACUACCUCACAAAGAGGGAUUCAGCCCCAGGACGUGAACACCUCCCACCAGGCCCCACCUCCAAACACCAAGACACCGAGGAUCACGUUUCACAUGGAACUUGGUGGAGACGCAAACGACAUCCAAACCACAGUCAGCUUCCUCACCUCCUGCAAUGCAUCCUUGGCUGAGUUUACUCAGUAUACCCAGGAUGCUCAUGUCCACUCACCAGAUCUUCCAUCUCAGGCACCCUCAUCUUCCAGACGCAGCUGCUGUGGUCCUCAUGUCCACCCACCAGAUGUGCUUCCAUCCCAUACACCCUCACCUUUCAGAUGCAGCUGGAAGUAUAUGAAGCAUAAUAAAUAAACUCAGCGUAACCUUGCCUCUUAUUACAUCAAACGCCUGAGUUGGUGGUGUGAGUUGCCUAAUACUGGCUUUGAAUCCCAGCACCACUGCUUUUUCACUUGACCCCACGUGAGUUCCUUAAGCUCCUGUGUGGCUUCAGGCAAAGCUUCUGGCCUUCGUGGGUCUUGGUUGGCACAUUUGUGAGCCGAGUAAAAUAUAUUAUAAACUAUUAAUCCGCAGGGAACCAUGGUCAUGGUGAUUUUAUUUUAACUUUUAUUUCAAAACACGAUUAAGAAAUACAUACUUUUCCUUUAAUUGUUUGUUUGUAUCUUUUCAACUUACUUAGAUUUAUUCUCUAUUAACUAGUUUGUGUUACUAUUGUAAUCAUCAAUAAUUAGAAAAAUAACCUAACCCUCACUGAUUACUCGUGGGAUUCAGGAACCCGAUGAGUUCCCUGAGAAUCACCUUGCUGUAGGGACUGAGCGGAGUUUCCCUGUUACUGAGCCCGGCCACUAGGUGGUGGAGGACCACUUCACUUUAGCUUUCUUGUCUUUCAGUACUAAAAAGGCUUGCAAGGAUUAUGCACCUUUUCUCCCACCCCUCCUUCCUUGAACGGUGAAUUUCUAUAACAUUUGUUUACUGUCCUUUUAGUAAUUCUUGACCCUUUCUGUGCUUUCAUUUAACCUCAAGUCUAGAUUAUUCAAAUUGACUCAUUUGGUAAAAAUACAUUGGGUGUCUAUCAUGUAGCAACAGCUUAAUGGGAUCCCCCGUGAAGUGGUCAAGUGCUGAAGCUGUGAAAACUGGGGCCGGCGGAUCAUGUGGGGACUGUCGCUGUGAUCACUUUUAGGGCAGCGUCAGCAGAAGUGUGUGCGUUUGCAGGCAGAUCUACGCUGUUUCAAAUGUGGUGACACCAAGGUACAGUGCGGGGGACACGUGGCAGGGUUGGGGUGUGGAGGGAGCUUGUUCAUCCUUCUUGGAAACCAUGACAUGGGGAAGGGGAUUUAGGCCUCCUCGUUCCACACCCCUCCUUUCUAGAGACCAAGGCAGCCCUUUGAUCAAGGUCACAUGGUUCCUUAGAGGCAGCUCAGAAGCAGUUUCAGGAGGAGCUCUCCGCAUCGUUUUAGAGACAAAUCUCCUCCGUGGGAGGCUCUCUGAAGGGCCAUGGUGUGCGGGGCCAGCGAGGCUGACUUCGUGACUGGACCCCCACAGAAUAGCCACAGUCACAGGGAUGGGACAGCUACACAGAGGUCAGCAAGCCCCGGGGAUGAGGGGAGGAGGAGGGGAGGCCUUGGGGGUGGAAGGGGUUCCUGCAGAACAUUGUUCUAGGUGGGGCCUGAAAUAACUCCUUCUACAGACGAAGAGGUGACAGGUGUGGGACAGAGGAUGGAAGGGGCAGACCAUCCCAAGAAGACACAUGCCAGGACACUGAGGCAGCUGCUGGGGUGGGUGCGUUGGGUGGCGGAGGGGCAGCAGGCGCUGGUCAUCGAGAUGAGGCUGGGGAUUAAACAGUGGCUCUGUCACAAAGGCCUUCUAGGCAAUCCUUGCAAGUGUGAUUUCUUUUUUUCAAAAUGCAGUGGAAAAACUUAUUUGCAAUCCUAAAUCUUGGUCUAUUCUUUGGUUUCGAAGUUUGGAGACUUGCCAGAAUACUGAUUCAUUACCAGCAGUAGACUCAGGGAUAUAUCGUGGGAAUGCUUGUGCCUUUAUCUUCUCUUUUCAGAGUCCUGGAACAAGACCUGGGGCAUGACCUGCUGCAUGUGUGGUUGCACCUGCCGUCCGCCGUGUGGUCGCACCUGCCGUCCUCUCUCACAUGGAGCAGCUCCUCGGGAGGUCUUUAUCUCUCUUACCUCGACACCCUCCGAGUUCAGCCCAGUGAUUUCUUCCAGCCCCUCAGUCUGGGUUUGUCUGACACCUCCUCGACGUCCCAUCCAGGUGUGGUCUGUGCAGCAGCAGCACCGCCGAAGCUCCAGUGGCCUUUCCAGGCUUCCUGUUAAUACCCCGUGCAGACGAGGCCGUCCUGCCUCCAUGCUGAGGCUGACUUUGAUCACGUGGUCAAGGGGCUGUUGGCCAGUUUUCUCCACCGAAGUUAGAACCUUUCCUUUUGUAACUAAUAACGACAGGUCUGGCUGGGUGCCCAGGCUGGCCUCAAACUCCUGGGCUCAGGGGAUCCUCUGGCCUCUGCAUUGCUACCACACCAGGCUAAACUCAUGGAUUUUUAUCAUGUUAAUUAUCACAAUACUUUACUACGGUCACUCAGUUUGGCUGUAAAACGCUCCCAGCUCUGGCUGGUGGGAGCCUCUUUGAGCUGCUUAAGUGUCUCUGAACAUUCACCAGCGUUCUCUGAAGACUUCCUCACUCUCUAAGGCAUUGGGGCUCCCCGGCCGUGGUCUUGGGCUCAGCUCUUUCUCCGGGGACGCUGGUUCUCGUCAGUGGAGAAUGAGAUUUGGAAACCAAGCUCUGGACCCUGGUUCCCAUUUGCCUGGUCUCUUUCCGGAGCUCCACUUUGUGAAAAUUCACAGAUGCUGCUGCUCUACAAGAGAAUACGGAGGGCGAGAAGCCGCCACGGGAGCUUCCGGGGUCCACACAUCAGAGCCUUGCCCAGCCCACCACGCAGGAAGAAGGGUCUUCUCCCCAAACCUGUGUCCUGCGUCUCCAUCCACGUCUCUCUGUUUUAGAUGGUUAAUCUUGAAAUGUUUACUUUUAAAUCAUGUAUACAUUUACAUAACUGAAAACACUGAUUCAUUCUACAAUUCUUAUUUUUGAAAAGGCCAGAGCCUUUGUGACAUUCAUCAAUUUCUUUUUCUCAGAAAAUUAUUUUCACCAUUUGCCACUUUUUUUAAUUGAAAUUGAAUUCAUAGGAGACAAAAUUAUCCACUUUACAGUGUCCAUUGCGGUGGCAUCUAGUACAUUCACAGUGUCCUACAGCCACCAUCUCUCUCUCGGUUCACGAUUUUUCAUCACCCCAGCACACCCUGGACCCGUGACUCCAUUCACCUCCUCCAGAUUCAGCACUAAUCUGCUUUCCAUCUCUGCAGAUAUGCAAAGCGUCAAAUGAUUUGGCUGAAUCUUCAAGAAGAUGUAAAUGAUGAUGAAAGUAGCAGUGUUCUUGUGUGUAUCCAUAUUUAACUGGAAAUAGUCUUAAAGCGUUUCCUAGACAGGAACUUACAGGCCGUCGCAGUGCAGCGUCGUCAGCAGUAACAGCAGGGACGGUAGCCGGGUGAGGCCUCGGGCUCAUCAGGGUGUGCCCUGCACCGUGGGCUCCGGAAAGCACAUGUAACCUCGUAGGCUCGGACAGCCAGACACCGGGGUGUGUACCUGGCAGAGCGCAUGGUGAGCGCUCAGAAAUAUGCAUCCUUCACCGUGCGGCUGACCAGCAACCUUCUGGUAUCAGCCUCCUCACCUGCCACUGACACAGGGACCCCCAGGCGCAGGUUCCACAGCAGGGCCUCCUUCCCCGCCUCUGGCGGGAGCCCCCGCUCCACCUGGCCAAGGGAACCUCCUUUGCUUGGUGGGCGUGGGUGCUUGGAACCCUCCCCUCUUUUGCACAGGAAUUAAGCAGAAGUCUUCUCCCGGGUAACAAGCCUUGGACUUCAGUUCCACGUAAACGCAGGAGCCGUGGCCAACCUAGCUUUGUCGGACGCUGACUUCAGCAGCAGAGGAAGCAAAUGAGUUAAGUAUCCUUUGUGAACUAGGUACAUGUUCCUACUAGACUGAGCAAAAGAUGCCAUUUGCUGAACACCGUUAGGACAAUAAACAGCUGAGAGCAUGUAAAGUGAGAGGUAGUGAGAGGUGAAGGUGGAGCUCUCUGGCCGGCCCUCUCAUGUGAGAAGGAAUGGGGAGGGGAGAACAGGAGGCUGGAUGGGGAAGGGGCCCAGGCCCAGCCAGGCUGUCUGUCUCCCCCCGCCCCGAUCCUACAGCCCACUCCUGAGUCCCCUGUGCACCCUACUCUUGAACAGCACGCAGGAUUCACACACGGCAUCUGGACGGUCCUUGCCUUUGCUGUCCCUCAGGCCCUCUUCUUAUCUUGGGGAUGUCAGAUCAAGUCCAGGCAGCCCGAUCACCCCAGGCAGUCGCCGUCUGUUUGGAUGAGAAGGUGCAGCUGCUAAGCUUCUGAAGCUGGUAAGAAACAUCUUAAAGAAGGAUCAACUUCUUCAACAGGCACAGACAAGACCUUUGGAUUUAGAGAGUGUUUGCCCCAAAUGGUUGUCUCAGGCCUCCCGGGAGUCCUCUGACUCCUUUCAGAGGAAACCUCUGUGGCCCCUGAUGAGUCGGGGGUCCGCCACACUUCCUCAUGUAGGCCACCGGCCUGGGGCUCCUUCAUCCUUAGUCACACUCCUCACAUGUGCUCUU